GCCGGGGUGGCCGAGCGGACCAAGGCGAUGGCCUGGAGAGCCAUUACCCCUCUGGGGUGCCCGGGUUCGAAUCCCGGCCCCGGCGCCA
rnacentral:tRNA from 2 species